rnacentral:rRNA from 1 species
GACGAACGCUGGCGGCGUGCUUAACACAUGCAAGUCGAACGGAAAGGCCCCUUUGGGGGUACUCGAGUGGCGAACGGGUGAGUAACACGUGAGUAACCUGCCCUUGACUUCGGGAUAACUUCAGGAAACUGGGGCUAAUACCGGAUAGGAAUCCUUGCUGCAUGGUGGGGGUUGGAAAGCUUCGGCGGUUUUGGAUGGACUCGCGGCUUAUCAGCUUGUUGGUGGGGUAGUGGCUUACCAAGGCUUUGACGGGUAGCCGGCCUGAGAGGGCGACCGGCCACAUUGGGACUGAGAUACGGCCCAGACGCCUACGGGAGGCAGUAGGGGGGAAUAUUGCACAAUGGGCGGAAGCCUGAUGCAGCAACGCCGCGUGCGGGAGGACGGCCUUCGGGUUGGAAACCGCUUUCAGCAGGGGCGAAGCUUGUGGUGACGGUACCUGCAGAAGAAGCACCGGCUAACUACGUG